CCCUGGGUAGAUACUCCCCUUGCAACACAGAGGAAGCUUCAUACCCUUGGCAGCCAGGGAAGGUGCUCUGCUCCAAACUGCCCAAGGCUGAUCUUGCAUUUGAAUGAUCUAAUGAGGAAGCAGAAGGCUUAGGUGCCUCUCCCCCAGCCACCAUUCCCUUUAGGAAAUGUAGUCUCAUGGUUCUGAUGGGAAAAUCAUGAAAUUAAAUAUUGAUAUAAUGAAUUCCAUUGCAGGAAGUAGUAAUUUUACCAGUAGAAACUG
rnacentral:lncRNA from 10 species